rnacentral:lncRNA from 1 species
GCCCACCUCGGCCUUCCAAAGUGCUGGGAUUACAGCUAUUUUAAGGACUUUUUAAAAAGUGAAGCUAAACAUUUAUUCAUCCCUAUUCCUCAUCUAUAGGGACUUGUGCUCUAUUUUUCUUUGAAGACUGAAGUAAAAAUUCACCUUUGUGAGGGUCUUCCUAUAAUUAAAAUUAAUCAUUUUUUCCUCCAUAGCUUCUACAAAACAUUGCCUGUACAACUCUAUUUAGCACUUAUUUCAUCCCGCCUUGUAUGAAAACUAUUUGUUUACAAACGUUUCUACUUCUCUUUAGGAAUAAGGACUAUGCAUUAUUCACUGUUGUAUUCUCCCUGCAUUUAUGGCAGUCCUUUGCACAUUAAAUACAAGCUUUUUGGCUCUGUGCAUCUCUUCAUCUGGCUGUUCAUCUGUACCCUUUAAAACAUCCUUUAUUAAAAAAACAGUAAAUGUAAAAAAAAAAAAAAGCCAUUGAUGAAAAAGUUAAUAGCUUUCUCAAUAAGAAAAGAGUAUCAAUUAUGCAUACGUCUGAACUAACAAACAUGAAUGAAAUAGGCUAUUUAAUACAUUCUGUUUUAAAAGUAGGUUUGGUCAGCCAUGUAAAUUGAAAAUUGGGAGCCACCAAGAUAACUCAUCAACAAAUAUGCACUAUGUACUAGGCACUAUAUAGAUGAUGGUGAACCAAACAGAUGUAAUCCUUGCUCUUACAGAUCUCACAACCUACUAUGGGGCCAAAAAUAUAUGCUAUGAGGAAAACAAACAGGUGGUGAGAAAGAAUUAGAGUAGGGGUAGAGGACAGAGGGCUCCUCAAAUAGGGUGGACAGCUUGACACAAGACACUCGAGCUAAGACUCCAAGGAUGAGAAGACAGUUAUGUAAAGAAAAGGGGACUAGCAUUGUCAGCAGGUAGCUAAGGCCUUAAAGCAGACAGUCAUGUGCUGCAAUGCCAGCUUCAAGCGAAUACAGUUACUAAAGCAUAUCUAACCUUCUAUGUGAAUGUAGUUACUAAAGCAUAUCCUCCAACUUUCCAUUUUUCUUUUGCUAUUGUUUCUACCACUUCUCCUUUUCUGUUGACAAUUAUUUUAAAUUUCCUGGCUAAAUUAAAUGAUGGCAUGAACUCUGGGGAAAGUAAGACUACCUAUGUCCAAAUAAUCCUAAAUUCCUUCUAGUCCUUAUGACUGAUCAAUUCACCCUGAAGUGACAACUAUGUCCCAAUUAGGAAAGAGUGUUUCUUUAUCUGCACUUAAUUUUUUGAUUUGGAGGCUUCCUG